GGACGAACGCUGGCGGCGUGCCUAAUACAUGCAAGUCGAACGGUCUUUCUAUGGAAGCUUGCUUCCACUGAGAAGAUAGUGGCGAACGGGUGAGUAACACGUGGGUAACCUGCCCAUAAGAGGGGGGAUAACAUCCGGAAACGGGUGCUAAUACCGCAUAGUUUUCUUGAUCGCAUGAUCGGGAAAGGAAAGACGGCCUUUGUGCUGUCGCUUAUGGAUGGACCCGCGGCGUAUUAGUUAGUUGGUGAGGUAACGGCUCACCAAGACGAUGAUACGUAGCCGACCUGAGAGGGUGAUCGGCCACAUUGGGACUGAGACACGGCCCAAACUCCUACGGGAGGCAGCAGUAGGGAAUCUUCCGCAAUGGACGAAAGUCUGACGGAGCAACGCCGCGUGAGUGAAGAAAGGUUUUCGGAUCGUAAAACUCUGUUGUCAGAGAAGAACAAGUUGGAGAGUAACUGCUCCAGCCUUGACGGUAUCUGACCAGAAAGCCACGGCUAACUACGUGCCAGCCGCAGC
rnacentral:rRNA from 1 species